rnacentral:rRNA from 1 species
AACAGGAUUAGAUACCCUGGUAGUCCAUGCCGUAAACGAUGAGUGCUAGGUGUUGGAGGGUUUCCGCCCUUCAGUGCCGGAGCUAACGCAUUAAGCACUCCGCCUGGGGAGUACGACCGCAAGGUUGAAACUCAAAGGAAUUGACGGGGGCCCGCACAAGCGGUGGAGCAUGUGGUUUAAUUCGAAGCUACGCGAAGAACCUUACCAGGUCUUGACAUCUUGCGCCAACCCUAGAGAUAGGGCGUUUCCUUCGGGAACGCAAUGACAGGUGGUGCAUGGUCGUCGUCAGCUCGUGUCGUGAGAUGUUGGGUUAAGUCCCGCAACGAGCGCAACCCUUGUUACUAGUUGCCAGCAUUAAGUUGGGCACUCUAGUGAGACUGCCGGUGACAAACCGGAGGAAGGUGGGGACGACGUCAGAUCAUCAUGCCCCUUAUGACCUGGGCUACACACGUGCUACAACGGACGGUACAACGAGUCGCGAACUCGCGAGGGCAAGCAAAUCUCUUAAAACCGUUCUCAGUUCGGACUGCAGGCUGCAACUCGCCUGCACGAAGUCGGAAUCGCUAGUAAUCGCGGAUCAGCAUGCCGCGGUGAAUACGUUCCCGGGCCUUGUACACACCGCCCGUCACACCAUGAGAGUUUGUAACACCCAAAGUCGGUGGGGUAACCUUUUAGGAGCCAGCCGCCUAAGGUGGGACAGAUGAUUAGGGUGAAGUCGUAACAAGGUAACC